CCAAAGGACCAGCCAAAACCUCGCCUCAAGUCACACGUAUGAUAAUUUUCUGGAACACUCCAAUUCAGUGUUACUACAGCCACAGACUGCCACAGCAGCACAUCGAGCCAGAGGCUGCCACUCUUGCCCAGUAAUCAUCCAGUGAUAACAAACAAUGAUCUCCAGCCACCCAAUUACUACGAGGUAAUGGAGUUUGAUCCCUUAGCUCCUGCUACAGAGUAAGUCAUUUAUAAAAUUAU